rnacentral:rRNA from 1 species
AUUGAACGCUGGCGGCAUGCCUUACACAUGCAAGUCGAACGGUAACAGGUCUUCGGAUGCUGACGAGUGGCGAACGGGUGAGUAAUACAUCGGAACGUGCCUAGUAGUGGGGGAUAACUACUCGAAAGAGUGGCUAAUACCGCAUGAGAUCUACGGAUGAAAGCAGGGGAUCGCAAGACCUUGUGCUACUAGAGCGGCCGAUGGCAGAUUAGGUAGUUGGUGGGAUAAAAGCUUACCAAGCCGACGAUCUGUAGCUGGUCUGAGAGGACGAUCAGCCACACUGGGACUGAGACACGGCCCAGACUCCCACGGGAGGCAGCAGGGGGGAAUUUUGGACAAUGGGCGAAAGCCUGAUCCAGCAAUGCCGCGUGCAGGAUGAAGCCCUUCGGUUUGUAACCUGCUUUUGUACGGAACGAAAACCCCCGGGUUAAUACCCUGGGGUCAUGACGGUACCGUAAGAAAAAGCACCGGCUAACUACGUGCCAGCCGCCGCCGUAA